AAAUUGAAGAGUUUGAUCAUGGCUCAGAUUGAACGCUGGCGGCAGGCCUAACACAUGCAAGUCGAGCGGAAACGAGUUAUCUGAACCUUCGGGGAACGAUAACGGCGUCGAGCGGCGGACGGGUGAGUAAUGCCUAGGAAAUUGCCCUGAUGUGGGGGAUAACCAUUGGAAACGAUGGCUAAUACCGCAUGAUGCCUACGGGCCAAAGAGGGGGACCUUCGGGCCUCUCGCGUCAGGAUAUGCCUAGGUGGGAUUAGCUAGUUGGUGAGGUAAGGGCUCACCAAGGCGACGAUCCCUAGCUGGUCUGAGAGGAUGAUCAGCCACACUGGAACUGAGACACGGUC
rnacentral:rRNA from 1 species